rnacentral:rRNA from 1 species
GUCCGCACUGUAAACGAUGAUUACUCGUUGCUGGGGAGCAAUUUCCAGUGACCAAGCGAAAGCGAUAAGUAAUCCACCUGGGGAGUACGCCGGCAACGGUGAAACUCAAAGGAAUUGACGGGGCCCGGCACAAGCGGAGGAGCAUGUGGUUUAAUUCGAUGAUACGCGAGGAACCUUACCAGGGCUUGAAAGUUAGGGAAUGGACCUGAAAGGGUUCAGUCAGCAAUGACCCGAAACUAGGUGCUGCAUGGCUGUCGU